rnacentral:rRNA from 1 species
GAGUUUGAUCGUGGCUCAGAGUGAACGCUGGCGGUAGGCCUAACACAUGCAAGUCGAACGGCAGCACAGGAGAGCUUGCUCUCUGGGUGGCGAGUGGCGGACGGGUGAGGAAUACAUCGGAAUCUACCUUUUCGUGGGGGAUAACGUAGGGAAACUUACGCUAAUACCGCAUACGACCUUAGGGUGAAAGUGGGGGACCGCAAGGCCUCACGCGAUUAGAUGAGCCGAUGUCGGAUUAGCUAGUUGGCGGGGUAAAAGCCCACCAAGGCGACGAUCCGUAGCUGGUCUGAGAGGAUGAUCAGCCACACUGGAACUGAGACACGGUCCAGACUCCUACGGGAGGCAGCGGUGGGGAAUAUUGGACAAUGGGCGCAAGCCUGAUCCAGCCAUACCGCGUGGGUGAAGAAGGCCUUCGGUUG